rnacentral:rRNA from 1 species
UGAACGCUGGCGGCGUGCUUAACACAUGCAAGUCGUACGAGAAAGCUUCUGCUUGCAGAGGCGAGUAAAGUGGCGCACGGGUGAGUAACACGUGGGUAAUCUACCUUUGAAUUGGGGAUAACAUUGUGAAAGCGAUGCUAAUACCGGAUAAUAUCGCGAUUUUUUCGGAUUUCGUGAUCAAAGGGGGCCUCUCCAUGGAAGCUUCUGUUUAAAGAUGAGCCCGCGCCCCAUUAGCUAGUUGGUAGGGUAAUGGCCUACCAAGGCAACGAUGGGUAGCUGGUCUGAGAGGAUGAUCAGCCACACUGGAACUGACACACGGUCCAGACUCCUACGGGAGGCAGCAGUGAGGAAUUUUGCGCAAUGGGCGAAAGCCUGACGCAGCAACGCCGCGUGAGUGAUGAAGGCUUUCGGGUCGUAAAGCUCUGUCAAGUGGGAAGAAACCGCAAAGCACUAAUAAUGCUAUGCAUUGACGGUACCACUGAAGGAAGCACCGGCUAACUCC